ACAACGCCGAAGAUGUUUUGGCGGAUUUGAGANCUAUCGUUAACUGAAUACAUAGGUUAACGAGGCGAACCGGGGGAACUGAAACAUCUAAGUACCCCGAGGAAAAGAAAUCAACCGAGAUUCCCCCAGUAGCGGCGAGCGAACGGGGAGCAGCCCAGAGUCUGAAUCAGCUUGUGUGUUAGUGGAACGGUCUGGAAAGUCCGACGGUACAGGGUGAUAGUCCCGUACACCAAAAUGCACAGGCUGUGAACUCGAAGAGUAGGGCGGGACACGUGGUAUCCUGUCUGAAUAUGGGGGGACCAUCCUCCAAGGCUAAAUACUCCUGACUGACCGAUAGUGAACCAGUACCGUGAGGGAAAGGCGAAAAGAACCCCGGCGAGGGGAGUGAAAAAGAACCUGAAACCGUGUACGUACAAGCAGUGGGAGCACCUUCGGGUGUGACUGCGUACCUUUUGUAUAAUGGGUCAGCGACUUAUAUUCUGUAGCAAGGUUAACCGUAUAGGGGAGCCGCAGGGAAACCGAGUCUUAACUGGGCGUUAAGUUGCAGGGUAUAGACCCGAAACCCGGUGAUCUAGCCAUGGGCAGGUUGAAGGUUGGGUAACACUAACUGGAGGACCGAACCGACUAAUGUUGAAAAAUUAGCGGAUGACUUGUGGCUGGGGGUGAAAGGCCAAUCAAACCGGGAGAUAGCUGGUUCUCCCCGAAAGCUAUUUAGGUAGCGCCUCGUGAACUCAUCUUCGGGGGUAGAGCACUGUUUCGGCUAGGGGGUCAUCCCGACUUACCAACCCGAUGCAAACUACGAAUACCGAAGAAUGUUAUCACGGGAGACACACGGCGGGUGCUAACGUCCGUCGUGAAGAGGGAAACAACCCAGACCGCCAGCUAAGGUCCCAAAGUCAUGGUUAAGUGGGAAACGAUGUGGGAAGGCACAGACAGCCAGGAUGUUGGCUUAGAAGCAGCCAUCAUUUAAAGAAAGCGUAAUAGCUCACUGGUCGAGUCGGCCUGCGCGGAAGAUGUAACGGGGCUAAACCAUGCACCGAAGCUGCGGCAGCGACACUAUGUGUUGUUGGGUAGGGGAGCGUUCUGUAAGCCUGCGAAGGUGUGCUGUGAGGCAUGCUGGAGGUAUCAGAAGUGCGAAUGCUGACAUAAGUAACGAUAAAGCGGGUGAAAAGCCCGCUCGCCGGAAGACCAAGGGUUCCUGUCCAACGUUAAUCGGGGCAGGGUGAGUCGACCCCUAAGGCGAGGCCGAAAGGCGUAGUCGAUGGGAAACAGGUUAAUAUUCCUGUACUUGGUGUUACUGCGAAGGGGGGACGGAGAAGGCUAUGUUAGCCGGGCGACGGUUGUCCCGGUUUAAGCAUGUAGGCUGGUUAUCCAGGCAAAUCCGGAUAAUCAAGGCUGAGGUGUGAUGACGAGGCACUACGGUGCUGAAGUAACAAAUGCCCUGCUUCCAGGAAAAGCCUCUAAGCAUCAGGUAACAUCAAAUCGUACCCCAAACCGACACAGGUGGUCAGGUAGAGAAUACCAAGGCGCUUGAGAGAACUCGGGUGAAGGAACUAGGCAAAAUGGUGCCGUAACUUCGGGAGAAGGCACGCUGGUGUGUAGGUGAAGUCCCUGCGGAUGGAGCUGAGACCAGUCGAAGAUACCAGCUGGCUGCAACUGUUUAUUAAAAACACAGCACUGUGCAAACACGAAAGUGGACGUAUACGGUGUGACGCCUGCCCGGUGCCGGAAGGUUAAUUGAUGGGGUUAUCCGUAAGGAGAAGCUCUUGAUCGAAGCCCCGGUAAACGGCGGCCGUAACUAUAACGGUCCUAAGGUAGCGAAAUUCCUUGUCGGGUAAGUUCCGACCUGCACGAAUGGCGUAAUGAUGGCCAGGCUGUCUCCACCCGAGACUCAGUGAAAUUGAACUCGCUGUGAAGAUGCAGUGUACCCGCGGCAAGACGGAAAGACCCCGUGAACCUUUACUAUAGCUUGACACUGAACAUUGAGCCUUGAUGUGUAGGAUAGGUGGGAGGCUUUGAAGCGUGGACGCCAGUCUGCGUGGAGCCAACCUUGAAAUACCACCCUUUAAUGUUUGAUGUUCUAACGUUGGCCCCUGACCGGGGUUGCGGACAGUGUCUGGUGGGUAGUUUGACUGGGGCGGUCUCCUCCCAAAGCGUAACGGAGGAGCACGAAGGUUAGCUAAUCCUGGUCGGACAUCAGGAGGUUAGUGCAAUGGCAUAAGCUAGCUUGACUGCGAGCGUGACGGCGCGAGCAGGUGCGAAAGCAGGUCAUAGUGAUCCGGUGGUUCUGAAUGGAAGGGCCAUCGCUCAACGGAUAAAAGGUACUCCGGGGAUAACAGGCUGAUACCGCCCAAGAGUUCAUAUCGACGGCGGUGUUUGGCACCUCGAUGUCGGCUCAUCACAUCCUGGGGCUGAAGUAGGUCCCAAGGGUAUGGCUGUUCGCCAUUUAAAGUGGUACGCGAGCUGGGUUUAGAACGUCGUGAGACAGUUCGGUCCCUAUCUGCCGUGGGCGCUGGAGAAUUGAGGGGGGCUGCUCCUAGUACGAGAGGACCGGAGUGGACGCAUCACUGGUGUUCGGGUUGUCAUGCCAAUGGCACUGCCCGGUAGCUAAAUGCGGAAGAGAUAAGUGCUGAAAGCAUCUAAGCACGAAACUUGCCCCGAGAUGAGUUCU
rnacentral:rRNA from 1 species